ACAGCGGUAACUUGGUUGGGUGUUCUUCUCUGCUGUGUAGGCUUUGUUCUUUUGCUCUUUGCAGUAAAUGUUGCUGCUGCUGACUGUUGGGUCCCAGCCGUCUUUAAAAGCUAUUACACUCACGGUGAAGGUCUGUGGUUUCACUCCUGAAAUCAAGCGAGUGUACGAACCCACCGGAAGGAAGAAACUCCAGACUCCGAAGGAACAAACUCUGGACACACCAAAUGUAAGAAUUGUAACACUCACCGCGACGGUCCGUGGCGUCCACCCUCGCAGCUUCUUUCUUGAAGUCGCCGAGACCAAGAGCGCACCGAAAGGAACCAAUUGUGGACACAUCCGUUUUAGUGGAAUAAUAGUCCUUGGUUCUCUGGACAACCGGGAGAAUUGCAUUUUCUGAGGCCCACGAUAAGCACCCAACCGUUAAUAUUUCCAUGCUUCUCUGUCCAUCCCAUGGAGCCUGGGGCUUGAGGGACUGUGCAGUGAGGCAGCAACUCACAUCUCCAGCUGUUGGACUGGUCCUGCCAGCGACGUCUGCUCAGUAGAACAAGCAGCACUUCCCCCAGCUCAGCACUGUCUCAUUUCUGAGACUGAACACCCCGUGGUCACUCUACAUGGAUGGGUUAAUUUCCCUUGGAAAAGUAUUGAUGAUCAAGUGAUGCUAGCAGCAACAGUGUUAAAGGCUUUAACGCUUUUAAAGUGCCAUCCACGGAAAAGGCCUAUAAACAAUGACCAACCCAUUAAUAGUGAGCACCCAGAUUAAGAGCUCUAAAUACCAUUUCCCACAUAGAAACCUCAGAGAAAUGGCUAAUUUCAGGACUGAGGCAGGAAAAAUACAAGGGAAUUCAAUAGAUACCUAACACCACGAGAGUGCAACCAGCAAAAUACAGAUUUUUGGAAGUUCUGUAGGAUGAAGGCCCUUGUGUCCUCAAUACGCAACUGCAAGGAAAAAAGAAGAUAGAAGGAUAAUGUAUUGAUUAAAAGACACUUAAGAGACAUAAUAGCCAUUUAAAAUAUAAAUAAAAAUAAUUGCCCUCACAA
ensembl:lncRNA LINC02096 long intergenic non-protein coding RNA 2096